GAUGAACGCUAGCGACAGGCUUAACACAUGCAAGUCGAGGGGCAGCAUGAACUUAGCUUGCUAAGUUUGAUGGCGACCGGCGCACGGGUGAGUAACGCGUAUGCAACUUACCUAUCAGAGGAGAAUAGCUCAUCGAAAGAUGAAUUAAUGCUCCAUAAAACAGGGGUCCCGCAUGGGAAUAUUUGUUAAAGAUUCAUCGCUGAUAGAUAGGCAUGCGUUCCAUUAGGCAGUUGGCGGGGUAACGGCCCACCAAGGCGACGAUCAGUAGCCGACCUGAGAGGGUGACCGGCCACAUUGGGACUGAGACACGGCCCAA
rnacentral:rRNA from 1 species